GGUUGUGGCUCAGCGGUAGAGCAUUUGCCUCCAACGUGCAAGACCCUGGGUUUGACCCUCAGCACCA
rnacentral:tRNA from 1 species